CCAGCACUGGUAUUAUUGCAC
rnacentral:miRNA from 1 species